AUGACGCAGCAACUGGGCUACUAAUAUAUCUUGAAAACAUUCAGAGGAAAACGCAGUGGAUGAAGUGUUAAUAAGUGUUAAAACAUAAUGGAAAAUAUGAUUUCCUGGAGUUUGUUCUUCAUAGUUACUAUUAAUGGAGUUUGGAGUGAGAUCAAACAUGAACAGUCUCCCUCCGAGGUGAAAAAACCUGAAGAGAAAGUGAAGAUGUCAUGUAUCAUAUCAGGUUAUGACAUGACAGACUACUUCAUUCACUGGAUACGACAGAGGCCAGGAAACGCUCUGGAGUGGAUUGGGUGGAUGAACGCAGGGAACAACGCUCCUACUUUUAGCAGCUCCUUUCAAAGCCGCUUCAUCAUGACUGAAGAUGUGCCCAAGAGCACUCAGUACCUGGAGGUCACGAGCCUGACAGCAGAAGACUCAGCUGUUUACUUCUGUGCUCGAGACACAGUGACUGAAGGCAGUGGAGCAGCUGAACAAAAACAUCCACAGACAACAAACAGCAACGUUGACUUGAGGAGAUUUGGGUUUUCUCACCAACUGCAACAGUACUUUAAUAUAUUUAAUAUCUUCAUGAUGUUUCAUCACUCACAGUUAUAUAAAGUGUUCUUUCACUUGUAAACAUGUGAAUUAAUUCUAAAUGACUAAUGACAUAAACGAUUAAUUAUAUGAAAAUAAGUUUCCAAGUGGCUCUCUGGUUGGUUGGAUCAGGGUAUAUUUAUGUUUGUAAUACUAUGGAGCUACUCUUAUCAAUACCAUGUUGUAAUGAAUGCUUUUAAAAGCACAUGAAGAAUAAACAAAUUAAUUCUAAACAUAAUAGGAAUUCAUUAAAAA